AGGGGUUUCUUAGGUUCUAAGUCUCCCACCCGAUUGAGACUCCUGAGGAUGGAGGAGCAUCAAGGAAAAAUCAAGGAAAACAAGGGAAAGUGGGAAAAAUUGAACGAUUAGACCUUUUCCCACAUAGAUUGAUCAUUUUUUUUUCUUUUCACUUUUUUUUCCUUUUCAUUUCGUUCUCUUUCUUUCAAGAUCUGUGGGAAAGGAGAGUAUCUGAGGGAGAUUGGAGGGGUAUUUUGUGGGAGUUGUGGCAGUGGGAGUUGGUCCCCUGAGGUUUUGAGAGGUUGAUCUUGGUAGAAGCAUGAUACUUGUAGUGUUUGAGAAAUUUUGAUCUAAAAGAUUUUUUUUUGGCUGCAAAAUUUUUGAUUUAUCAAGUGGGUUGGGGUACCCGAUGGAUAUACCAAUUUUAAAUGGGAUAGGU
rnacentral:lncRNA from 1 species